GGAUGAUUUCGAUGCUGGAAGGUUUUUGGAGAGGAAGUGCAACGGGUGAAUAGGCUGUACUGCUGCUGGAUAAGCAUGGAGGCACCAUUCAAGAAACAGGGCCAGUCUUUAGGGUUCUCGUGCUGGAAGGUGACUAGAGAGCACUCUCAAAUUGAGCUCGGUUUGUUCUCGAGGUCUCUUAUCUGCCAUGGCCUGUUCUCAUCACUUUAGGGAACUUCUGUCUCUCUGCCUUCAUCUGCAUUUUGUCAUCAUGGCAAUGCUCCAAGACUCAGCAUCAUUUUCAUGUUUUAUCUUCAUCAGUCAAAAGAAGUCUGUUUUUACGAGGAAAUGCUCAAGAUAAAAUUUUGAGAGGACCCUGAGGCUGUUCUCCUAGACCCUACCAGAAAUAUCACCGCUGCUUAUGCAAUGAUAAUACAGAAUCCAUUAUCACUGCGCAUGGAUUUGCUACUCAUCUUUGACUCCAUGUUCAACUAAAUGUGAAUUAGCUGUUGCUGGGAACAAACUUUUAUUAGCCUUUCACCCACUAUUGUUAUCCAUUCUUUCAUGUCGCACAACUUCUCUGGAGAUAAAUUGCUUCCAUAGCGUUUGUUUGUCUAUUGCUGUUUAGUUUGACCGUUUUUCUUGUUUCUCUGAAAGAUCAGUAAACCAACUUGCUCUUUAAAGUUCUCUUUGCAUCUAUUUUCCCA